rnacentral:rRNA from 1 species
AACCUGGUUGAUCCUGCCAGUAGUCAUACGCUCGUCUCAAAGAUUAAGCCAUGCAUGUCUAAGUAUAAGCGUUUAUACAGUGAAACUGCGAAUGGCUCAUUAUAUCAGUUAUAGUUUACUUGAUAGUGCCUUACUACAUGGAUAACCGUAGUAAUUCUAGAGCUAAUACAUGCGUAAGUCCCGACCGGCAACGGAAGGGAUGUAUUUAUUAGAUAUAAGCCAACGCGGUCAGCAAUGGCCGGUUUUUGGUGAGUCAUAAUAACUUUGCGGAUCGCAGUGCGGCUUGCCGCGGCGAUGAAUCAUUCAAGUUUCUGCCCUAUCAGCUUUCGAUGGUAGGGUAUUGGCCUACCAUGGCAUUAACGGGUAACGGAGAAUUAGGGUUCGGUUCCGGAGAGGGAGCCUGAGAAAUGGCUACCACCUCCACGGAAGGCAGCAGGCGCGUAAAUUACCCAAUCCUGACACAGGGAGGUAGUGACAAGAAAUAACAAGGCGGGGCUUUUAUAGUCUUGCUUUUGGAAUGGGGUGAAAUUAAAUCAAUUGCCGAGAACCAAUUGGAGGGCAAGCCUGGUGCCAGCAGCCGCGGUAAUUCCAGCUCCAAUAGCGUAUAUUAAAGUUGUUGCAGUUAAAAAGCUCGUAGUUGGAUUUCUGGAGGGAGCGGCCGGUCCGCGUCCUUUGGGCGCGUGUACUAGCUGUAUCUCCCACCUGCCUUGCGGGGACUGUGUCGGGCGGCUCUGCUGUCUCGGCCAGGAACCGCAUCAUUUACUGUGAGAAAAUUAGAGUGUUCAAAGCAGUCUGCGCGU